ensembl:lncRNA
AAACAGGAAGGGCCUCUUUUCCCCUCUGCUCCUGCUGCAGUGGCAUGAUGUGAUCCACCAGCCAGGAGGGACACCAACAAGGCGUCCGAUAAGCAUAUUGUAGGGAGCUGCAGAAUACCGCACCCAAAAGAUGGCGCCGGUUUCCACCCUCCGCCAGCCCGACGGCGAGCGCUCUCUGUGGUAAACAACUCCAAAUUUGGUAAAGACCCAGGAGAAGGCAUCAGAGGCAGUUUCAUUGGCAUCAUCUACCAGGCUUCCUCCAUUUGGCUAGCCCCUGAGCCAGACUCCACAGAGAAAGCAGAACCGUGGGCCUGGAGCCUUGUGGUACUUUCAUGAUUGCCUCAUGCUUGGCAGCCUUCUCUGCAACAAAGGCUAUAGUUGAACUGUUGAGGAUGUUAAGAAAUCCAGUCCCAAGAGGAAGUCUACGGAUGGUAUCAGAACAAUUAUAUAUUAAACGUUUCAGACUUCAAAAUUAUUAACCAGCUCAGGAAACCAAUUAAGAAGGGUGAAUGGAUGUGAUCAGACUAGCUAGAAGCUUAAUCUGUCAAUGAAGAGUCUUGAGGAGCUGACUUCUGCAUUGCAGCUGGUCUAAGGGCUGAGAACGAGAAUUGACUACUCAUCCUCCUCACACCUGAAACAGCUGUCGUUUGCUGUUUUGACCAAAUACUUAUCUUUCAUCCAUCCUGAAACCCAGGCUAAUUUUCACACUUCAGUCAUACUUUGGAACACUGCUCUUGGAAAG